rnacentral:rRNA from 1 species
UACGGAGGGAGCUAGCGUUGUUCGGAAUUACUGGGCGUAAAGCGCGCGUAGGCGGCUUUGUAAGUUAGAGGUGAAAGCCCGGGGCUCAACCCCGGAAUUGCCUUUAAGACUGCAUCGCUUGAAUCCGGGAGAGGUGAGUGGAAUUCCGAGUGUAGAGGUGAAAUUCGUAGAUAUUCGGAAGAACACCAGUGGCGAAGGCGGCUCGCUGGACCGGCAUUGACGCUGAGGUGCGAAAGCGUGGGGAGCAAACAGG